GACGAACGCUGGCGGCGUGCUUAACACAUGCAAGUCGAACGGUGAAGGGGGAGCUUGCUCUUCUGGAUCAGUGGCGAACGGGUGAGUAACACGUGAGUAACCUGCCCUUGACUCUGGGAUAAGCGUUGGAAACGACGUCUAAUACCGGAUACGAGCUGAGACCGCAUGGUCAUCAGUUGGAAAGUAUUUUUUGGUCAAGGAUGGACUCGCGGCCUAUCAGCUUGUUGGUGAGGUAAUGGCUCACCAAGGCGACGACGGGUAGCCGGCCUGAGAGGGUGACCGGCCACACUGGGACUGAGACACGGCCCAGACUCCUACGGGUGGCAG
rnacentral:rRNA from 1 species